AUUGAACGCCGGCGGCAUGCUUUACACAUGCAAGUCGAACGGUAACAGGUUAAGCUGACGAGUGGCGAACGGGGGAGUAAUGCAUCGGAACGUGCCCGGUCGUGGGGGAUAACGCAGCGAAAGCUGCGCUAAUACCGCAUACGAUCUGAGGAUGAAAGCGGGGGACCGUAAGGCCUCGCGCGAUCGGAGCGGCCGAUGUCAGAUUAGGUAGUUGGGGGGGUAAAGGCUCACCAAGCCAACGAUCUGUAGCUGGUCUGAGAGGACGACCAGCCACACUGGGACUGAGACACGGCCCAGACUCCUACGGGAGGCAGAAGUCGGGAAUUUUGGACAAUGGGCGAAAGCCUGAUCCAGCAAUGCCGCGUGCAGGAAGAAGGCCUUCGGGUUGUAAACUGCUUUUGUACGGAGCGAAAAGGUCUCCUCUAAUACAGGGGGCUCAUGACGGUACCGUAAGAAUAAGCACCGGCUAACUACGUGCCAGCCGCCGCAGUAA
rnacentral:rRNA from 1 species